GGGAGCAUCCCAGCAGAGCAAAGACAGGCACUUCUCUCCCACGUUCCUCCUAAGGAGGCUUAGCAACCCUCCUACUCCUUAGGAACCCUACCUCAGGGUUAGACAACCAGGCCUCAGAGGGACAACCCCCACCCAACGUGUUCCCAGGUUUGCUUACAAUUAAUUGCCUUCCUCCAUGGGAAUUUCUCUGGGCACAUCCCUUUUGCAUCAUGGCCUUGUGGAAUCAGUCCUGCUGUACCAGUGCAAGUAUCAUCACAUUGUAGAGAACUGCCCAAAGCUAUGCAGCUGGAAAGAAGCAGUUUGGUGAAGGAAGGUGGAGGGAGCCGUCAGUGAGUACUCAGGAGAGACCCUCCUGUCACCAUCCCACGAAGCUGCAGAAUGCAUUCUGGGUGACCACAGCAGGCGACUGUCCCCCGGUGGAACUCCAGCACUGACAAAGAUGGCAGCAGAGAGUCAGCUAAUGGGGAAAUGCUUCCAAAAUGAGCUACAAGUCAGUUUACAAAAAUGGAGAAGGGGGAAAAAUCUAUUAGGCUGCAAUCUCUUGUUGGGAAAUGUGUUUCUAAAGGGAGUUUACAUGCCAUG
ensembl:lncRNA novel transcript